rnacentral:rRNA from 1 species
AUUGAACGCUGGCGGAAUGCUUUACACAUGCAAGUCGAACGGCAGCACGGACUUCGGUCUGGUGGCGAGUGGCGAACGGGUGAGUAAUACAUCGGAACGUGCCCAGUCGUGGGGGAUAACGUAGCGAAAGCUACGCUAAUACCGCAUACGAUCUACGGAUGAAAGCGGGGGAUCGCAAGACCUCGCGCGAUUGGAGCGGCCGAUGGCAGAUUAGGUAGUUGGUGGGGUAAAGGCUCACCAAGCCGACGAUCUGUAGCUGGUAUGAGAGGACGACCAGCCACACUGGGACUGAGACACGGCCCAGACUCCUACGGGAGGCAGCAGUGGGGAAUUUUGGACCAUGGGCGCAAGCCUGAUCCAGCCAUUCCGCGUGCAGGAUGAAGGCCCUCGGGUUGUAAACUGCUUUUGUACGGAACGAAAAGGCUCUGGUUAAUACCCGGGGCUCAUGACGGUACCGUAAGAAUAAGCACCGGCUAACUACGUGCCAGCCGCCGCAGUAAUAC